rnacentral:rRNA from 1 species
ACCUGCCUUAUACAGGGGGAGUAACAGUCAGAAAUGGCUGCUAAUACCGCAUAAGCGCACAGAGCUGCAUGGCUCAGUGUGAAGAACUCCGGUGGUAUAAGAUGGACCCGCGUUGGAUUAGCUUGUUGGUGGGGUAACGGCCCACCAAGGCGACGAUCCAUAGCCGGCCUGAGAGGGUGAACGGCCACAUUGGGACUGAGACACGGCCCAGACUCCUACGGGAGGCAGCAUG